UACGAAGGGUGCAAGCGUUGCUCGGAAUUAUUGGGCGUAAAGGGCAGGUAGGUGGUCUGAUUAGUCACUAGGUGAAAUCCUUCGGCUUAACCGAAGAAGUGCCUGUGAAACGGUCAGACUGGAGUACUCUAGAGGGUCGUGGAAUUCCCGGUGUAGCGGUGAAAUGCGUAGAGAUCGGGAGGAACACCAGAGGCGAAGGCGGCGACCUGGGGAGUGACUGACACUCAACUGCGAAAGCGUGGGGAGCAAACAGG
rnacentral:rRNA from 1 species